GCGUAUAGAAUCUGCCUUACACUGAGGGAUAGCCUUUGGAAACGAAGAUUAAUACCUCAUAGUAUUAUUGAAUGGCAUCAUUUGAUAAUUAAAGGUUACGGUGUAAGAUGACUAUGCGUCCUAUUAGUUAGUUGGUAAGGUAACGGCUUACCAAGGCAGCGAUAGGUAGGGGUCCUGAGAGGGAGAUCCCCCACACUGGUACGUGAGACACGGACCGACGACUCCUACCGGGAGGGCAGCAGUGAGGAAGUAAUUGGACGAAAUAGGAGGGCAACACUGAUCCACGCCACUGCCGCCGUG
rnacentral:rRNA from 1 species